AACUCCGGUGGCUUAGUGGUUAGAUCGUCCGCUUCAGACGCGGAAGGUCGUGGGUGCGAUUCCAGGCCGAUUUA